rnacentral:rRNA from 1 species
UACGUAGGGGGCAAGCGUUGCUCGGAAUUACUGGGCGUAAAGGGUCCGUAGGCGGUGUAGCAAGUCGAUAGUGAAAUCUCUGGGCUUAACCCAGAGGCUGCUAACGAAACUGCUGUGCUAGAGUGUGAGAGAGGCGAGUGGAAUUACGGGUGUAGCGGUGAAAUGCGUAGAUAUCCGUAGGAACAUCCGAGGCGAAGGCGGCUCGCUGGAUCACAACUGACGCUGAGGGACGAAAGCUAGGGGAGCAAACAGG